rnacentral:tRNA from 1 species
AGUUAUUUGUACCGAGGGUUCGAAUCCCUCUCUUUCCG